GCCUCGGUGACGGAACUGGUAGACGUAGCGGACUCAAAAUCCGCCGGCCGCAAGGCCAUGGGGGUUCGAUUCCCCCCUGAGGCACCA
rnacentral:tRNA from 1 species